UUAACGAAAUUAAAUAUUUCUCGUAUAAAGCCGGGAAUACGGCCCGGAAGUCUCUACCCGAAAACCGUAAAUUUUCGGACUACGAGGGAAUACGGCGGACCG
rfam:Paenibacillus sp. DMB20 mira_54, whole genome shotgun sequence.